CCACUGAUGGCUCAGUAGUAGAAUUCUCACCUUCCACGUGGAAAACCUGGGUUCGAUUCCCAGCCAAUGCA
rnacentral:tRNA from 1 species